rnacentral:rRNA from 1 species
CUGAACCUUCGGGGGACGAUAACGGCGUCGAGCGGCGGACGGGUGAGUAAUGCCUAGGAAAUUGCCCUGAUGUGGGGGAUAACCAUUGGAAACGAUGGCUAAUACCGCAUAAUGCCUACGGGCCAAAGAGGGGGACCUUCGGGCCUCUCGCGUCAGGAUAUGCCUAGGUGGGAUUAGCUAGUUGGUGAGGUAAUGGCUCACCAAGGCGACGAUCCCUAGCUGGUCUGAGAGGAUGAUCAGCCACACUGGAACUGAGACACGGUCCAGACUCCUACGGGAGGCAGCAGUGGGGAAUAUUGCACAAUGGGCGCAAGCCUGAUGCAGCCAUGCCGCGUGUGUGAAGAAGGCCUUCGGGUUGUAAAGCACUUUCAGUCGUGAGGAAGGUGGUGUAGUUAAUAGCUGCAUUAUUUGACGUUAGCGACAGAAGAAGCACCGGCUAACUCCGUGCCAGCAGCCGCGGUAAUACGGAGGGUGCGAGCGUUAAUCGGAAUUACUGGGCGUAAAGCGCAUGCAGGUGGUUUGUUAAGUCAGAUGUGAAAGCCCGGGGCUCAACCUCGGAAUAGCAUUUGAAACUGGCAGACUAGAGUACUGUAGAGGGGGGUAGAAUUUCAGGUGUAGCGGUGAAAUGCGUAGAGAUCUGAAGGAAUACCGGUGGCGAAGGCGGCCCCCUGGACAGAUACUGACACUCAGAUGCGAAAGCGUGGGGAGCAAACAGGAUUAGAUACCCUGGUAGUCCACGCCGUAAACGAUGUCUACUUGGAGGUUGUGGCCUUGAGCCGUGGCUUUCGGAGCUAACGCGUUAAGUAGACCGCCUGGGGAGUACGGUCGCAAGAUUAAAACUCAAAUGAAUUGACGGGGGCCCGCACAAGCGGUGGAGCAUGUGGUUUAAUUCGAUGCAACGCGAAGAACCUUACCUACUCUUGACAUCCAGAGAACUUUCCAGAGAUGGAUUGGUGCCUUCGGGAACUCUGAGACAGGUGCUGCAUGGCUGUCGUCAGCUCGUGUUGUGAAAUGUUGGGUUAAGUCCCGCAACGAGCGCAACCCUUAUCCUUGUUUGCCAGCGAGUAAUGUCGGGAACUCCAGGGAGACUGCCGGUGAUAAACCGGAGGAAGGUGGGGACGACGUCAAGUCAUCAUGGCCCUUACGAGUAGGGCUACACACGUGCUACAAUGGCGCAUACAGAGGGCAGCAAGCUAGCGAUAGUGAGCGAAUCCCAAAAAGUGCGUCGUAGUCCGGAUUGGAGUCUGCAACUCGACUCCAUGAAGUCGGAAUCGCUAGUAAUCGUGGAUCAGAAUGCCACGGUGAAUACGUUCCCGGGCCUUGUACACACCGCCCGUCACACCAUGGGAGUGGGCUGCAAAAGAAGU